CCGAGUUCAAGUCUCUCAACACACCAAUCGUAUUGUCCCCAAAAGAAUAAAAGAAAGAACGAAAACAAAAACUCAUCGUCUCGGCAUCCAUUGUUGUUAUUUUACUUCGCGAACUUUAAUAUCGCGGCACAGUGUAUUAAGCCCCGAUUCAAGAAACAAAAGAAAAAGAAAAACAAAAAGAAAAAAUAAACGCUAACGUACGCAUCUCACUCUCCCUCGCCAAUCCAUUACCGCUACUUCCCUCCUCCCUGUCAAAGGUCCAUUACUCGCUCAGGUUUUGAUAUGUUGUGGUUGGAUUGUUGCUUUGUCUUGGCAAGUUAAUGAUGACAUUAGUUUGUUAAUUGAGGAAAAUAUGAGCUUUAAUUUUUUGAUAAUAGAGAAAUGGAAAGUGAUGAUUUGUCAUAUUGUAAUGAUUUGGAAGUUAAGCUAGGGUUAGAGAAGGGUUUGCCACAGAAGUUGUUGAAACCUAGGGUUAAUAAAGAGAUGGAAAAAGAGGAGAAGAAAUUCUUGGGGAAGAAAAUUGAGGCUGGUAUUGAUUCUGAUGAUAAUGAGCCUAUUGGGUCUUUGUUCAGGUUGAAGAGACCUAGAAACCCUAAAAAAGCUAAGGCAGGUUUGGAGAAGGUUGAAGUUAGGGAAGCUAAGGAUGAGGAUCUGGGGGGGAUGGAUGAUACACUUGCGAGUUUUAAGAAGAAGUUGAAAGGUCCUAAGAAGGAUUUGGGAUCUGUAAGUGCUAGUCAUGAUGAUGGGUUGUUGGAUGUGAAUGUGGAGAAGAAAGAACAAAAAUGCAAGGAGAGGGCGAGGAAAGUGAGGAUUGAUGGGAAGAGAGUGAGAAAUGGGGGUGAUGUUGUGGAUGAUGAUGUUUUGGAGGGUUUGCGAUCCCAGGUUGCUUUAUUAGAGAAUCAAGGAGAGGAAAGUUGGUUGCCUGGUGAGAGUUCAAAUCGGCCUAUGGAUGGAAAGUUGGAAGAUUCGAUAUCAGCCUUUUUUCAGAAGAAGCAAUCGGGUUUGGCAAGGAAGUCUCGUGCAAAUUCAAGUUUUAAACAAAUUAACAGGGUUCAGUGUUUGGAUGACAGGUUGAGCCCUGGAUCUGGAGGUGUUUACGGGGGUUCAAAGGAUGUGGCAGCGAGGACAAUUGGAUCAGGUUCUGUCUCAAGUGUGGUCUGCAAAGAUCUGGAAGCUGAAAACAGUUUUCAUACAGUUGCUGAUUUGAGUUUGUUAGAUUCUAGCUCUAGACAAAUUUUGCAUGAGAAAAACCAGAGGCUUGAUAAUGGGUUUUGUGAAACUUCCUAUUUCACAAAUGAGAACUCUGAUAGAAUUAAGGGGAUCCCUGCAAUGAAGGAUGAAACUAUGAAAUCUGAUGACAAGAGACAUGGUAAAUCUUCAGAAGUUACUGCAGAGGUUUCUGCACCUGUAUCACCAGCAUUUUCAUCUCAGGAUGGGGUGAUGGAAGAUGAACAAAUGCAGGACCCUUGCAUCUCAAAUACUCAAGAGGAACCUAUGGUGGAACCUUGCAGUCCAGAUAGGAUUUGGAAUGAAAGUCAUUCUGCUUCAGGACAUAAUGAUAACUUGGAAACACAAACUUUAAAGAAUGGGUUAAGGCUUUGUUCUGUGGGUAAAGCAAGCACCUUGGAGGCAUUAGAACAACAAUCUAAGGAUGUUUCAGCUGCAUGCAUUUCAAAUGCAGAACCUCAAAUUUCGUUAUCUCCAGACGGAAGAGAAAUUUCAGCUUCCUCCAGCCCUAAUAGUCAAAAUGAACUGCAGGAUCUUGAUUCAGUUCCUAAAAAGGAAAAUGUUGAAAUAUCUGAUGGUAGGUUAUCUCCUGUCACUGUAAUAUCCGGGGAGGUCCAUAAAUCUUUGCACACAAACCACAAUGGGAACUCCUUAGAUUAUCUGUCCAUCAAUGAAGAGGCCAAUGGGCUGUCUCCUCGAUCUGUAACUCCUGAAGAAAAUGAAAGUUAUCUGGAAGAUGCAGUGUUGGUGCCAGGUUCUGAUAUUAAAGAUGGUCACUUAGCAGCUGUCCAGCGUGCUGUGCGGAAGGCCAAAAAACGCAGACUUGGUGACAUGGCCUAUGAAGGGGAUGCUGAUUGGGAGAUUCUGAUAAAUGAGCAACAAUUUCUGGAAAAUGACCAUGCUCUUGAAAGUGACCGAUCUCUUAGAACCAGAGAGAAGUCUGAUUCCUCUUCAAAUAGUGUGGAGGCUGAAAAUGGCGGGAUUGCAGCAGUUUCAGCUGGAUUGAAAGCCCGUGCAGCAGGUCCAGUUGAAAAGAUAAAAUUUAAGGAGGUCUUAAAGCGCAAAGGUGGGCUUCAAGAAUAUCUGGAGUGCAGGAAUCGAAUAUUGUGUCUUUGGAGCAAAGACAUUAGCCGUAUAUUGCCUCUUGCAGACUGUGGAGUCACUGGGACACCUUCCCAGGAUGAAUCACCUCGAGCUUCUUUAAUAAGGCAAAUUUAUGGAUUUCUUGAUCAGAGUGGCUAUAUAAAUGCUGGAAUUGCUUCCGAGAAAGAGAGAGCAGAACCUAGUACCAAUCACAAUUAUAAACUCGUUGAAAAAAAAACUUUUGAGGGAAAUCCUGGAGCUUCAGUAACUGAUUUGGAGGAUGGGGUCUCCUUUAUCCUUGGCCAGGUUAAAAGUUCUGAAAAUUCCUUGGAGCCAAAAAAUGGAGUUUCAGUGGAUAAUCAAGACCUGGCAUCAAAAGCCUUGAAAAAUGGGGAGCUUGUUAUUCCAUUGACACUAGAUUUACCCAAUGUCAUGGAAUAUGAAGAAUUACCAGCUGCUGGAAUACAGCAAAAUAGUUUGAGCAAUUCAAAGUUACCUAAUGGACUGGCCAGCUUGGAUCCUUUGAGUACUGAUCCAUCUUGCACAAUGCUGGAUGGCAGAAUGGCGGUCACUUCCCUAACUCCAGAGUUAAGGGAUGACUCGCAGAGUGUUAAAUCUAACUCUUGUGCCAAUAUAGGAGAAAGUCAUAAAUUGCUGUGUGAUUCUGAAGACAGAAAGAAAAUAAUUGUCAUUGGAGCUGGUCCUGCUGGCUUAUCUGCUGCACGUCACUUGCAACGUCAGGGUUUUUCUGCCAUUAUACUUGAGGCUCGAAGUAGGAUAGGUGGUCGUGUUUAUACAGACCGUUCAUCUCUUUCGGUCCCUGUAGAUCUUGGGGCUAGUAUUAUAACUGGUGUUGAGGCUGAUGUGACUACUGAAAGAAGACCAGACCCUUCCUCAUUGAUUUGUGCUCAGUUGGGCCUUGAGCUGACUCUGCUAAAUAGUGAUUGUCCUCUUUAUGAUGUUGUGACUAGAGAAAAAGUUCCUACAGAUCUGGAUGAAGAAUUGGAAUCUGAAUACAACAGUCUUCUUGAUGACAUGGUAUUGGUUAUUGCUCAGAAAGGGCAGCAUGCUAUGACAAUGUCUCUGGAGGAUGGUUUAAACUACGCACUGAAGACUCGUCGCAUGGCUCAUCUUGGACCUGCUAUUGAUGAAAAUGAAUCAGGAAUUGCAGUGGAUACAUUAUAUGAUUCCAAAACUUGUAGUGUUGAUGGCGGAGCUCAUGAGAGGAGUUCUAAAGAGGAGAUUCUGAGUCCCCUUGAGAGGAGGGUUAUGGAUUGGCAUUUUGCUCAUUUAGAGUAUGGCUGUGCUGCUUCUCUCAAGGAAGUUUCUCUUCCUUACUGGAAUCAAGAUGAUGUUUAUGGAGGAUUUGGAGGAGCUCAUUGUAUGAUAAAGGGAGGUUACAGUAAUGUUGUUGAGUCUCUUGGGGAAGGACUUCACAUUCACUUGAACCAUGUAGUCACAGAUAUUUCAUAUGGCGUUAAAGAUGCAGGAGCAAAUGAAAGUCAUCGGAGUAAAGUCAAAGUCUGCACCUCGAAUGGCAGUGAGUUUUUGGGAGAUGCUGUGCUGAUUACUGUCCCUCUUGGGUGCCUGAAAGCAGAAACCAUCAAGUUUUCCCCUCCAUUACCCCAAUGGAAACGUUCUUCCAUUCAGCGACUUGGUUUUGGAGUUCUUAAUAAAGUGGUCCUUGAAUUUCCAGUUGUUUUCUGGGAUGAUUCUGUGGAUUACUUCGGUGCGACUGCUGAGGAAACUGACCAGAGGGGUCACUGUUUUAUGUUUUGGAAUGUCAAGAAGACCACUGGGGCUCCUGUUCUUAUAGCCCUAGUAGUUGGCAAGGCAGCGAUCGAUGGCCAAAGAAUGAGCUCAUCUGAUCAUGUAAGUCAUGCACUAAUGGUUCUUCGUAAACUUUUUGGGGAGUCUUUGGUACCUGAUCCAGUUGCAUCAGUGGUGACUGAUUGGGGUAGGGAUCCUUUCAGCUACGGUGCUUAUUCCUAUGUUGCCAUUGGAUCAUCUGGAGAAGACUAUGAUAUAUUAGGCAGGCCUGUUGAGAACUGUCUUUUUUUUGCGGGUGAAGCUACCUGCAAGGAGCAUCCAGACACGGUUGGUGGUGCUAUGAUGAGUGGGCUCCGGGAGGCAGUGCGUAUAAUUGACAUAUUGAGCAUGGGAACUGAUUAUACAGCAGAAGUAGAGGCAAUGGAAGGGGCACAGAGACACUCAGAGGUUGAACGGGAUGAAGUCAGAGACAUAACAAAGAGACUCGAGGCAGUUGAGCUGUCCAAUGUAUUGUAUAAGAAUUCUCUGGAUCGGGCCCGACUUUUAACCAGGGAAGCUUUACUAAGAGACAUGUUCUUUAGUGCAAAAACCACUGCAGGGCGUUUGCAUCUGGCCAAAAAGCUGCUGAAUCUUCCUGUUGGAACUUUGAAGUCCUUUGCUGGGACCAGGAAAGGGCUCACUAUGCUCAACUCGUGGAUUCUGGAUUCAAUGGGGAAGGAUGGGACUCAACUCUUGCGUCAUUGUGUUCGUCUUCUUGUGCUUGUUUCAACUGAUUUACUUGCCGUGCGUUUGUCAGGCAUAGGGAAAACAGUGAAAGAAAAAGUUUGUGUGCACACAAGCCGUGAUAUACGCGCCAUAGCUAGCCAGCUGGUUAGUGUGUGGCUUGAAGUCUUCCGCAGGGAAAAAGCUUCAAAUGGCGGGGUUAAGUUUUCAAGGCAUGCUACUUUAUUGGAUUCUUCAAAGAGAAAAUCUUUAAGCAAUUCAACCACAGGAAAACCACCAUUGCGCACCCAUCACAGUGCUUCGGAGACCAGAGGCAAUUCGCAGGUUUCUGCACCAACCAGAGGCCCCUUGCCAUCAAACCCAAACAUGAAGAAAGCAAGCAGCAAGCCGGAAACUCUGAAAGACUCAAGCAGACUGGAUACUGAGUUAGAAGAGGGUAACACUGCCAUCUCUGAAGAAGAACAGGCUGCCUUAGCUGCAGCGGAGGCAGCUCGUGCUGCUGCUCGUGCAGCUGCCCAGGCAUAUGCAUCAUCAGAAGCCAAGUGCAGCACAUUGGUGCAGCUGCCUAAGAUACCUUCAUUUCACAAAUUUGCAAGACGGGAACAAAACGCACAAAUGGAUGAAUAUGAUCUUAGAAGAAAGUGGUCUGGUGGCUUUCUUGGAAAACAAGACUGUAUAUCAGAAAUUGACUCUAGAAACUGCCGGGUUAGGGACUGGUCUGUUGAUUUCUCCGCUGCCUGUGCCAACUUUGACAGUUCAAGAAUGUCAGGUGACAACUUAUCUCAGCGGAGCCAUUCAAAUGAGCUUGCUUGCCAUAUGAAUUUGAGAGAGCAGUCUGGAGAAAGUUCAGCAGUUGACAGUAGCCUUUUUACAAAAGCAUGGGUGGAUACUACUGGUAGUGCGGGGAUAAAGGACUAUCAUGCUAUUGAGAGAUGGCAAUGCCAAGCAGCAGCAGCUGAUUCAGAUUUUUUCCAUCGUGCUAUGCGUAUAAAAGAUGAAGAGGAUUCAAACACGAGUUCCAGACCACCCACCAGGAAGCAUGAUGGAAGAGCAAAUGAGAGCUCUAUCUCACAGGAUACUAUAAACAAGGAACCAUCAAAACAUCGUUCUCGAGGUCCUGAUCGUAUUAAACAGGCUGUUGUUGACUUUGUUUCAUCAUUGCUCAUGCCUGUCUAUAAGGCAAGGAAAAUUGACAAGGAGGGAUACAAAUCAAUAAUGAAGAAAAGUGCUACCAAGGUCAUGGAGAAGGCUACAGACGCAGAAAAAGCCAUGGCUGUCUCUGAGUUUCUUGAUUUCAAGCGCAAGAAUAAGAUCCGUGCCUUUGUGGACAAAUUGAUCGAGAACCACAUGGCAAUGAAACCAGCUGUUGAACCUUGAUGGUCCCAGGAUUGACUUGCCAGUUUUUGGGUGUGCUUCCGUGUGACAUAUACAGGAAGUCCAUUCAUUUCUGUUCCUUCGCAGUCCACAGUAUAAGAUGGUAGCCAUGGAGUUCAUGGCUUGGCACCUUUGUAAAUGCUUGAUUCGAAGUGCCAAUAUGCUAUCAAAGAUCUUGAAAGUGCCAUGGAAAGGAGGGGACAGUUUGCCUGUUGAAACCACAAGGCCCCAGUGAAGAUUGUUCGACAUCUAGUAUUGUUGCAAAUGUCUUCAGGUUGCACUGAAGUGCCGCUCAAGAGGACCAAAGGAGCUUGACAAUUGCUGUAGCUUUUAUUAUCUGGAUCGUUGGGAAAUAUACAGCGAAAGUCUUGCUGAUGCCAGUCUGGUGUGCUAAAUAUCAGUGGCCUGGAGCUAAUAAAGCUGUGGUUCAUGUCCAGAAAGCAAGUUGCUUUGAGUUUAUGUAAGCAGUAAUGAGAAAAUCCUGCCCCUGGUUAGCCGAAAGAAUAUGAUAAUGCUUUAAGCUUUGAUCGUCUCUAUCAUGAUUUGCUGUUCAGUUUGGCACUUAAACGUAUGUCACUGAUAGUUGCCAGGCAUUUUAUUUGCACUUUGUCCUCUUAUAAUCACUGAUCGAUUUCAGAAUUAGGGAGGGAACAGAAGUUCCCUGAUGACAUUGAGUGUCAUUCAGUGACACAUUUGUUUUCUUUCAUUCUGAUCUCUUUAUGGAAAGAAGAGGGUUUUUUGCAUUACAAUUUUCCUGGUUCCUCUGUAGUAAUGUUUCACGACAUUUUUUGACGGGUGACCGACUUGCGGUUCCUUUAUGGACCUGAAACGACCUUGCAAGUUUCAGCUUAAAUUGAAAGUACUUAGUGGUGGCUGGCCAAUGCUUGUGCUGUCAUUUUUUGCCCAUUCAUGAAUCACUGACUCAAUUGCGAUUCAUCCUAGAUUUGUUUCCAUUGGCGAACGUUUUCAUUCUGGAUGUAUUGUAUCAUGAAAGAAUAAUACAUUGGUAAGUCUUUGAUAUGCUCAGAAACUCAGACAUGCUCGUCUUCGUCAAAUGUCACUUCGGCAUGUUUGUUUUUGUAUCCUGUCCUUGAUAUGCUUAGGAUUUGUUUGUCGGAAAAACUAUAGUUUGAGAAUGACAUUCACCAUGGGAGUUUCAAAACUUUGCUUGUUUAUGUGAAGUCCUGGGAUAGUGUUGGAUAUGCGGGUUGACUACUAGUAGGCUACGGUCAGGUAGCAUAACCGACCGUACUGUGCAUCAUAUUUGCAAUUUACUAGUUUAAAUUUAUCACUUUAUGACA